UUUCCGUAGGUGAACCUGCGGAAGGAUCAUUAUUGAAAUAGACCUGAUGGGUUGUUGCUGGUUCUCUAGAGAGCAUUGUGCACGCCUUGUCAUCUUUAUAUCUCCACCUGUGCACUUUUUGUAGACCUUUCAGGUCUAUGUUGCUUCAUUUACCCCAAUGUAUGUUAAUAGAAUGUUGUGCCUAUAUAAUAUAUACAACUUUCAGCAACGGAUCUCUUGGCUCUC
rnacentral:misc_RNA from 1 species